rnacentral:piRNA from 1 species
UGGUUCUACCUGCCCACGUAUCUGUCA